ensembl:snoRNA SNORA62 Small nucleolar RNA SNORA62/SNORA6 family
CGUGCACACCAUUAAAGCUCAGGGUGGAGGCCGGUUCUGGCCUGUGAACUUCUGAGUGUCGGAGGUGUGCUACAGCAACGGCAGGGUUUCGCUAACACCAGGAGAGCUCGGCUCUAUGACUGGAGUUUGCUAGUGCUCUCUGCCACAUUC